UACGUAGGGGGCAAGCGUUGUCCGGAUUUAUUGGGCGUAAAGAGCGUGUAGGCGGCCAGACAGGUCAGCUGUGAAAACUCGAGGCUCAACCUCGAGACGUCGGUUGAAACCGUUUGGCUAGAGUCCGGAAGAGGAGAGUGGAAUUCCCGGUGUAGCGGUGAAAUGCGCAGAUAUCGGGAAGAACACCCGUGGCUAAGGCGGCUCUCUAGUACGGUACUGACGCUGAGACGCGAAAGCGUGGGGAGCGAACAGG
rnacentral:rRNA from 1 species